rnacentral:rRNA from 1 species
AUCGGGGUUGCGGACAGUGUCUGGUGGGUAGUUUGACUGGGGCGGUCUCCUCCCAAAGAGUAACGGAGGAGCACGAAGGUUAGCUAAUCCUGGUCGGACAUCAGGAGGUUAGUGCAAUGGCAUAAGCUAGCUUGACUGCGAGCGUGACGGCGCGAGCAGGUGCGAAAGCAGGUCAUAGUGAUCCGGUGGUUCUGAAUGGAAGGGCCAUCGCUCAACGGAUAAAAGGUACUCCGGGGAUAACAGGCUGAUACCGCCCAAGAGUUCAUAUCGACGGCGGUGUUUGGCACCUCGAUGUCGGCUCAUCACAUCCUGGGGCUGAAGUAGGUCCCAAGGGUAUGGCUGUUCGCCAUUUAAAGUGGUACGCGAGCUGGGUUUAGAACGUCGUGAGACAGUUCGGUCCCUAUCUGCCGUGGGCGCUGGAGAAUUGAGGGGGGCUGCUCCUAGUACGAGAGGACCGGAGUGGACGCAUCACUGGUGUUCGGGUUGUCAUGCCAAUGGCAUUGCCCGGUAGCUAAAUGCGGAAGAGAUAAGUGCUGAAAGCAUCUAAGCACGAAACUUGC